GAGAGAGUAGUAGGAAAUGAAUAAAAGAAUGAAACCCGUUAGGUAAAUUACAACAAACGGAGUGUACUUACAUAUAAAAAGAGAAAGAGGGAAAUAGCCUUAAUUGAAAGAGGGAUAACAUAGCAAGGCAGAGUGGAGACAAUGAGGAGGCACGAUGUGAAUGCAAAUGAACUGGGUCUUCUGUGUGUAUUGUUAAAAUAGCUCCCGGUGCUCUGACGGGAAAGGAGUAAGCGUGGGCAUGUCACAGACACACAGAGCUCUGUCUUGAAAUGCUGUCGCAUGUUGAGGGAGAAUUCAGUCUAGAAUUUGGGCCUUGGAGGUCAUGUGUUUCCAACAGGCAAUGGGGAAUGGAGGCUAGAUUGGAAAGGGACUUGGGGAUACAAGUACCUGAGGACAAUUGCAUGUGGGCCCCCGGCACAGGGGCGGGGAAAGCUAGAGAAAAAACAGACAGCAUCCCCAAACAUUACCACACGGAAUCCGUACAACUUAGGUGUCCAUGCUGAGGCUGCAAAAACUUAAAAAAUUUAAAGAAUGACAAUCCUAUGAAAUAAUCUCUAAAAACAUUCAUUAAGGCGAUCUAAUGAGAUCUCCUGCAUUUCAGGUAUCUUUGCUGUAAUGGUCGGUUCUCUCAGAUCUCCUCCGUUAGAUGUUUGCAGUCGGUCUGUGCUUGCUCAGUAAGACCCCACUUGGAACCAUCUUCAACCACGGAAACAGUACUUGAAUGUUCCACUGCAUUGUGGGGACAAUGUAUGCGGUAGUUUAACUCAAUUUUUAAACCAUGUCUUUAUUCCGUUUACGUUUCUUCUCCAUUAAGACCAUCUCGUAACUUACCGAGUUAUUCAUGAAACUGAUUUAAAAAAAACUUAGAAGCUUAUACUUCGUACUAUUAUGAAUUGCCGUAUGACCAACUUAUAUUAGAAGUGGGUUUAGGUCGGUUGUACGUUUUAAAGUCCUGCAGGACAGAAGACAGUUACUGUUUUUGGAGAUCUGCCUGGUGCCUUGCAGCCACUACAAGCUCCCCGCAAAUUUCCAAAAUUUCCACUAGGGGGCGCGAUCACCCCCAUUGAAACCACUGGUAGGUUAAGAGCUUCCGCUCUGAAGUCAGAGUGGGCCUGGGCUUCCUCCUAGCCUCGUGAGACCUUGGACACUUGAUUUACCCUUUCUGUGUCUCAGCGUCUUGGGUGAGAGUUGUACCUGUCCCCUAGAGUUAGAACGCAGACUGAGCUCCGUAAAAUGGUGGUUGAUAUCCCCAUUUCAUGGACCAGGAAACUGAGGCUCAGGAACUUUGGUGACUUGUCCAAACUUCGGCAGGGCCAGGAGCAGGGCCAGGAGGCAGCGGAGGCUCAGGGAUGAGGGGGCUGUGGAGUGGGCCUCGUUCCUUGGCCACAGAGGCAGGAUCCAAAGACUGUUGCCUGCCUGAGCCCAUCAUGCCUCUCUCCAAGAAUAAUACAUGACCACGACGUUCCAGAGCAGCACUCUUUGGAGGGCAUUCUGCUAGGAACCAGCCCAUUUGUGGAGACAGCAACACCCAGCCAUGUCCUGUGCUCUCCUGUCCCACCACCUCCUCUCCAAGCCUCCGGCUCUGGCCCCGAGGGAACUGCAGACAGACACAGGCCCUGGAGAGCCGCAAGUUCUCCAGGGCACCUCCUCCAGUUCCAGUGGCUUUUCUCUUGAGUCUGCUUCGAUCCCAGUUCUCCCGGAUUCACAAAGGACCACAGGCGUCUAGCUCUCCUGGGGCUGUGACAAAACCCCCAAAUAUACUCCUAUUAUUUGUUAAACACACACAUGCUCUCUGCUAGCUCUUUAGGAAGGAGAACAGGUGUCCAGAGUUUGAAAUCAGCCCUUAGAACCAGACUAAAGCAAAAUCAGGAAUUGAAAGAGGCCUGCAUUCCCCUUUCUUCUUUCUCAAAGUUCUUCUCUACCUUGAACCAUUAAUGCCUCCACCUCUCCCGAGACAUCCUGCAGGGGCCCAGCUGAGGCCUGCCACUAUCCUGGGCUCACUCUCUCUUUCUACUCUCCACCGCAUAGAAUUCACAGGGCUUCUUGACUAUUACUCAAGAUUUCAAAUUGAGAAGCUCUGAUAAAGUCCUUCACGCUGAGGAUCCAUAGCUGAUAAUCACUGAGUACCUGCCAAAGGUCAUAAACCCAAAACACUGAGGCUGGAUGAGUAUAAUUUGGGGUGGCUUUUCUGAUACCCCUCCCCAAAUCAUCUACCUUGUUGUCCCCUCAAGCAGAAGUACAGGGCACUGUGCAGUAAUUGAGAACACCUAAGAAUUUUCUUCUCCUGUAGUUCUACCGUCAGUCUCGGAGACGAGUCAAGGGAAGUCUCCAGGAUCUGAACACUGAUCUAAUUAGUGCUCGUUACCCAGGACCUUGCUUGGGACACGUCUUGAUUCGGGGCUACCCGGACAGAAGAGAUGACCGCGGUGGCAGCAUAUCACGGACCCAGCUUUGCUUUUAGCCACAGGGAAGGCUCCACCCCAGACCCCCUCCCCUUUUCUGCCAAGCUUGUAAGCUGCCCGGAACCGCGAGGCCAGCCACAGGCAGGCACAGAGUGAGAGACACACGGCACGUGUACAAACCAUUCAUUUUAUUUCCUGUAUUGGGUUUAUACAAACUUGCAAGAUACAAAUGCAGAGCUCACUGGGAUUCUUCAGUACCUAGAUCUAGAAAGAAUGCUGCGGGGCGGGGGGAAGCGAACGUUCACUCUCAGUCACGAGGCCCCUCCCCGGGGAGGGGCUUGUUGGCUAGAAAGAUGCUAAAAGCAGCUGCUACAGAUGUUUGGUCCCCAACAGAGAUGCCCUCUGUUUAUCUAACUUUAACUUUUCUUCUAAGGUCACUUUUAUACUAAAUAAAGACACUGAGAUCAUA